rnacentral:rRNA from 1 species
GACGAACGCUGGCGGCGUGCCUCAAACAUGCAAGUCGAGGGAGGGUUGCUGGGGAGCUUGCUCUCUGGUCAACUCUACCGGCGAACGGGUGCGUAACACGUGGGCAACCUGCCUCGAAGACGAGGACAACCUCGGGAAACCGGGGCUAAUACUCGAUACCCUCGGCGGAUCGCAUGAUCUGCCGCGGAAAAGGUCCGCAAGGUCUGCUUCGAGAUGGGCCCGCGGCGUAUCAGCUAGUUGGUGGGGUAACGGCCCACCAAGGCGAUGACGCGUAGCUGGUCUGAGAGGAUGGUCAGCCACACUGGAACUGAGAUACGGUCCAGACUCCUACGGGAGGCAGCAGUUGGGAAUUUUGGGCAAUGGGCGCAAGCCUGACCCAGCGACGCCGCGUGGGGGAUGAAGGCC